AGUCUCACCUCAGACAUCCCAACUCCUAAGCCAAUGCUAAUGUUCUAUUGGAGCACAAGUAGGGGAAUUGAAAUUGUGUUAUAAGAGUUGAUAAACAAAUAUGGCAUUAAGACCAUUGGUCUCAGGACAAAAUCUACCAACCUUUUUCCGCUGCCUAAAACUCUCCUUUCAAGCCAAGGAGAAGACAUUGCCUCCUCAGAAGAUCCUCCAAACAAGUAUCAGUAGAAGAAUAGGAUCAAUA
rnacentral:misc_RNA from 1 species